GUUUGAUCCUGGCUCAGAGCGAACGUUUGCGGCGGGGCCUAACACAUGCAAGUCGAACGCACUAGCAAUAGUGAGUGGCGCACGGGUGCGUAACACGUGGGUAAUCAACCCUUCAGCUUGGGAUAACGACUUGAAAGGGUCGCUAAUACCGGAUACGGCGAGAGAGGCUUCGGCAUUUCUCGAGAAAGCCUCGCAAGGGGCACUGAAGGACGAGCCUGCGGCCCAUCAGCUAGUUGGUGAGGUAAGAGCUCACCAAGGCGAAGACGGGUAGCUGGUCUGAGAGGAUGAUCAGCCACACUGGAACUGAGACACGGUCCAGACUCCUACGGGAGGCAGCAGUGGGGAAUAUUGCGCAAUGGGCAAAAGCCUGACGCAGCCACGCCGCGUGAGCGAUGAAGGCC
rnacentral:rRNA from 1 species